rnacentral:rRNA from 1 species
AUUGAACGCUGGCGGCAUGCUUUACACAUGCAAGUCGAACGAGUGGCGCACGGGUGAGUACUACAUCGGAACGUGUCCUAUAGCGGGGGAUAACUGAUCGAAAAAUCAGCUAAACCCGCAUACGAUUGGAGCGGCCGGUGCCCGAGUAGCUAGUUGGUGAGGUAAAGGCCCAACAAGGCGACGAUCGGUAGCCGGUCUGAGAGGACGACCAGCCACACUGGGACUGAGACACGGCCCAGACUCCGACGGGAGGCAGCAGUGGGGAAUUUUGGGCAAUGGGGGCAAGCCUGAUCCAGCCAUGCCGCGUGAAGGAAGAAGGUCUUCGGAUUGUAAACUGCUGUUGUCAGGGAAGCGGUACCUGAAGAAUAAGCACCGGCUAACUACGUGCCAGCAGCCGCGGUAAUUC